GACGAACGCUGGCGGCGUGCUUAACACAUGCAAGUCGAACGAUGAAGUUCCUUCGGGAAUGGAUUAGUGGCGAACGGGUGAGGAACACGUGAGAAACCUGCCUUUCAUUUUGGGAUAACUCCGGGAAACCGGGGCUAACACCGAAUACUCCGUCUCGGCGGCAUCGCUGAGCCGGGAAAAAAUUUUGAUGAAAGAUGGUCUCGCGGCCUAUCAGCUAGUUGGUGAGGGAAUGGCUCACCAAGGCAACGACGGGUAGCCGGCCUGAGAGGGCGACCGGCCACACUGGGACUGAGACACGGCCCAGACUCCUACGGGAGGCAGCAGUGGGGAAUAUUGGGCAAUGGGCGCAAGCCUGACCCAGCGACGCCGCGUGAGGGAUGAAGGCCUUCGGGUUGUAAACCUCUUUCAGUAGGGAAGAAGCGAAAGUGACGGUACCUAAAGAAGAAGCACCGGCUAACUAUGUGCCAGCCGCCGCAGUAA
rnacentral:rRNA from 1 species